rnacentral:rRNA from 1 species
ACAGCAGCACCGCGGUAAUACGGAGGGAGCUAGCGUUGUUCGGAAUUACUGGGCGUAAAGCGCACGUAGGCGGCUUUGUAAGUUAGAGGUGAAAGCCUGGAGCUCAACUCCAGAAUUGCCUUUAAGACUGCAUCGCUUGAAUCCGGGAGAGGUGAGUGGAAUUCCGAGUGUAGAGGUGAAAUUCGUAGAUAUUCGGAAGAACACCAGUGGCGAAGGCGGCUCACUGGACCGGCAUUGACGCUGAGGUGCGAAAGCGUGGGGAGCAAACAGGAUUAGAGACCCCUGUAGUCCCUGUCUCUUAUACA